rfam:Lactobacillus hayakitensis DSM 18933 = JCM 14209 strain DSM 18933 NODE_163, whole genome shotgun sequence.
GCGAAAGUGGUGAAGUUGGUUAACACACCGGAUUGUGGCUCCGGCACGCGCGGGUUCGAAUCCCGUCUUUCGCC